CUCGGCUCUCGCAUCGAUGAAGAACGUAGCGAAAUGCGAUACUUGGUGUGAAUUGCAGAAUCCCGUGUUCCAUCGAGAUGCAUCGAUGAAGAACGCAGCGAAAUGCGAUACUUGGUGUGAAUUGCAGAAUCCCGUGAACCAUCGAGUCUUUGAACGCAAGUUGCGCCCGAAGCCGUCAGGCCGAGGGCACGUCUGCCUGGGCGUCACGCAUCGCGUCGCCCCCCCCUUCCCGCGACC
rnacentral:rRNA from 1 species